UCAGAUUGCUGUCCCAGACUUUUGAUGCCAUGUUGCUCAGCUUUCAGUUUCCUGACCGUUGCUACUCAACAGUAUAAGCACAAUGACUCUUCACUUCCUUCUUCCUGGCACAUUGCUUUUCACCAAUAACCCCCAACACACCCGCUGCGCCUAAAUCCCCCUCAGGCAUCAGUCAGUGAGCCAAUCCAUCAUGGGAAGCCUGUUUUGAUGGAAA